rnacentral:rRNA from 1 species
ACUCCUACGGGAGGCAGCAGUGGGGAAUAUUGCACAAUGGGGGAAACCCUGAUGCAGCCAUGCCGCGUGUGUGAAGAAGGCCUUCGGGUUGUAAAGCACUUUCAGUAGGGAGGAAGGUAGUGUAGUUAACACCUGCAUUAUUUGACGUUACCUACAGAAGAAGCACCGGCUAACUCCGUGCCAGCAGCCGCGGUAAUACGGAGGGUGCGAGCGUUAAUCGGAAUUACUGGGCGUAAAGCGCGUGUAGGUGGCUUGUUAAGCCAGAUGUGAAAGCCCCGGGCUCAACCUGGGAACUGCAUUUGGAACUGGCAGGCUAGAGUUUUGUAGAGGGUGGUAGAAUUUCAGGUGUAGCGGUGAAAUGCGUAGAGAUCUGAAGGAACACCGGUGGCGAAGGCGACCACCUGGCCAAUAACUGACACUGAGACGCGAAGGCGUGGGUAGCAAACGGGAUUAGAUACCCUGGUAGCUACGAGU